rnacentral:lncRNA from 1 species
GGUGUGUUUCGAUAUAUUUGCAGAGUAUGCAAGAUGGAGAUGGAUUAUGUCAACCCUAAAAAACGACUCAUCGACAAGGUGUUGAGGUGAUGUUGUUGAAAGGGGUCAAACAUUCGUCAAGUUAUAUACAACAAAAGGCCCGUGGCAACGCACGGGCCUUGCAAAAAUAACCGAAGGUGCGCUUUCUAUGGAACAUUGAAAUAUAUUUUUCCUUGGGUGAAAUAUGUAUAGUAUUUUUGGUUACUCAGCCAUAGAUGUUAUGUUUGUUGUGUUUCAGAUCCCGUCAGUUAGUUCAAGCAGCAUGAUUGUUUCUUACUCAUGGUCUGUAAAUUGUGGGACUAUUGUUUAUUUCUGUGACGCAGCAAAAUGCAAUUGGAAUGUGAGUCUAGACAAGGGAGUUAUUGCCUUGAAAGACUAUCAUUUUUUUCUUAUCUGCGGGUGAGGAAGUUCGAGAAGAACAAGAAGAUGUCAGAGUUUACGACGCAGUUGGACUCCAUUGGGUUUAAGAUAGCCGAGAUCACUGUGGAUGGCAACUAAAUGUAAGACCAUUGAUCGAUUCUUCUCCCCCUCCUGAAAUCCUUCUUGCGAGCUUCUAUGUUGCAUCCAUGUACAACCAAUUGUUUUAUUGAUGUGUGCUCUUGUUCAUUUCUUAACUACGAUUAUGGUGUGGUGAUCUAGAGCUAUUUGGAAGAGCUCAGGGGCGAGGAUGCUAGAGAGAGAUCUGAUGCAGCAAGAGACUCCUUUGUGGCCGACUUGCUUUAGAUGUUGAGAAGAAUGCCAACAAAGGGUCUGACAAAAAACAAAUCCCAUGAGAUAUCAUAGGACGACAAGAAUGUUGGAUUCUCGGAGAUCUAAGGAUCUCAUAACUUGUUCGCCUGCUUCUUUUUUGAGUUUUCAGUUAUCCUUUAUUUCCUUGCUUAUGUCAUCUCUUUGAUAUUUGUCUCUUUCUAAAAUGAGAAACAAGGGCUUUAUGUCCUUUUCCUUUUCCAUUAAUGGAUUUCACACAACAAUAAUAGGAAAUAGUUUCAGUGUUCUCAACUCUUUGUUGUUGCUUUUCAGAGAGUAUUUUCCUCGGAUGGGUAUUAUCUGACCCAUGUUUUCUUUGUCAAUGAAAAAUCG